rnacentral:rRNA from 1 species
UGGACUCAGAACGAACGCUGGCGGCGAUGGAUUAGGCAUGCAAGUCGAACGGGAGCAGCAAUGCUCCAGUGGCGCAAGGGUGAGGAACACGUGAACAACCUGCCUUCGAGUUGGGGAUAGCUUCUGGAAACGGGAGAUAAUACCGAAUAACAUCACCGGGUCGCAUGACCUGGUGAUCAAAGCAGCAAUGCGCUUGAAGAGGGGUUCGCGUCCCAUUAGCUAGUUGGUGAGGUAACGGCCCACCAAGGCGAUGAUGGGUAGCUGGUCUGAGAGAACGAUCAGCCACAUUGGGACUGAGAUACUGCCCAGACUCCUACGGGAGGCUGCAGUCGAGAAUUUUGGGCAAUGGACGAAAGUCUGAACCCCCAGCAAUGCCGCGUGCGGGAUGAAGGUCUUCGGAUUGUAAACCGCUGUCAAGAGGGACGAAAUUUGACGGUACCUCUGGAGGAAGCCACGGCUAACUACGUGCCAGCCGCCGC